UACGUAGGGGGCAAGCGUUGUCCGGAUUUAUUGGGCGUAAAAGGCUUGUAGGUGGCCACGCCAAGUCGGAUGUGAAAUCUCCCGGCUCAACUGGGAGGGGUCAUUCGAUACUGGCGGGCUCGAGGCCGGUAGGGGGAAGUGGAAUUCCCGGUGUAGUGGUGGAAUGCGUAGAUAUCGGGGAGGAACACCAGUGGCGAAGGCGGCUUCCUGGACCGGUUCUGACACUGAGGAGCGAAAGCGUGGGGAGCGAUCCGG
rnacentral:rRNA from 1 species